rnacentral:lncRNA from 1 species
GGUUAACAAAUGAACAAUCAAUGACCUGGUAUGAACCUGCACUGGACUUUGUUCAGAAGUGUUAAUGUUUGAUUGUUAUGUGUUGUGUAAUCUUCUGAAUAUUGUUUUCUCUUUAGUAUUUUAAUUAUAUAGUUGCGUUCCACCUGUGAUUCCGGAGGCCUUUGCAGCCAACAGGAAAUGUGUGCUGCUUAGAGAGCUUUGAACCUUGGUUAAGGUGAAGUACUAGUGCUAUGAACUGUGACAGCUGUUUAUGAGCAUCAGCUGUCCGGAGUUCCACAUCAUUGUGUAUUUGAAGAGGAAGGGAUGACUGGAUGCUGUGUUGCCUAAGCAUGGUGGCUUUACUUACAAGCAAGAUGUUUAUAAGCUGAUGGCCUCUUGGGUAUACACAGAAGUCUUUAUAUUAAAGAUUAGCACCAAACCAACCAAGAAAAAGACCCCCACACCAAGACCUGCAAAAAUCCUCAGUGGUUAGAGUGACUGCUUGCAUCCAUGGUGGUAAAGUGUUAGUU